rnacentral:rRNA from 1 species
UACGGGGGGGGCAAGCGUUGUUCGGAAUUACCGGGCGUAAAGGGCUCGUAGGCGGCCAACUAAGUCGGAUGUGAAAUCCCCAGGCUUAACCUGGGAACUGCAUCCGAUACUGGAUGGCUUGAAUCCGGGAGAGGGAUGCAGAAUUCCAGGUGUAGCGGUGAAAUGCGUAGAUAUCUGGAGGAAUACCGGUGGCGAAGGCGGCAUCCUGGACCGGCAUUGACGCUGAGGAGCGAAAGCUAGGGGAGCAAACGGG